rnacentral:rRNA from 1 species
CCUGGUUGAUCCUGCCAGUAGUCAUAUGCUUGUCUCAAAGAUUAAGCCAUGCAUGUCUAAGUACAUACUGUUUAUAAAGUGAAACCGCGAAUGGCUCAUUAAAUCAGUUAUGGUUCCUCGGAUAUUCUUUUUUACAUGGAUAACUGUGGUAAUUCUAGAGCUAAUACAUGAACAAGUGUUCCAACCUCAGCUUGCUGACGGAAGGAUCGCAUUUAUUAGUACAAGACCAAUGAUUCUUAUUCACCUAGAACCCUGUUCAGUGAUUUCGGUCGCUGUCUAAGGACUAGCAGUGGGGAUCUUAGCAACUUCGGUUGCAUUUCUUGUGAUGACUCUGAAUAACUGAGCAAAUCGUAUGGCCUCUGAGCCGACGAUGUAUCCCUCAAGCAACUGCCUUAUCAACUGUCGAUGGUAGGUUAUGCGCCUACCAUGGUUGUAACGGGUAACGGGGAAUUAGGGUUCGAUUCCGGAGAGGGAGCCUGAGAAACGGCUACCACAUCUAAGGAAGGCAGCAGGCGCGCAAAUUACCCAAUCCCAGUACGGGGAUGUAGUGACGAAAAAUAACAAUACGGGACUCUAUUGAGGCCCCGUAAUUGGAAUGAGUACAAUUUAAAUCCUUUAACGAGGAUCUAUUGGAGGGCAAGUCUGGUGCCAGCAGCCGCGGUAAUUCCAGCUCCAAUAGCGUAUAUUAAAGUUGCUGCGGUUAAAAAGCUCGUAGUUGGAUUUCAGUCGAACCUAUGGGGUCCACUGAUUAAAGGGUUAGAUGGUGAUGUUAGGUUUCUUGCUUGUGUCUACGGAUGCUAGCUUGAACCUUCAUUCCUCUUUCCUGGUGGUUACAUUCAUAGUGUUUAGACAGAAAAUUGCUCGAUAUUUGCUAUCAAUGCUCUUUACCGAGUGUUGAUUCAAGCGAUCGAGACUUUUACCUUGAAAAAAUCAGAGUGCUCAAAGCAGGCGUCCAAAACCUCGAAAGAGGUGCCUAAAAACGGUAUGGUCAACCAUCUAUAUGAUGCGUACCACUACCUUAACUUGAAUGAUCUUGCAUGGAAUAAUGGAAUAGGACCUUGGUUCUAUUUUGUUGGUCUUAAGAAUCCAAGGUAAUGAUUAAGAGGGACAGACGGGGGCAUUUGUAUUGCGGCGCUAGAGGUGAAAUUCUUGGACCGUCGCAAGACAAACUACAGCGAAAGCAUUUGCCAAGAAUGUUUUCAUUAAUCAAGAACGAAAGUUAGAGGUUCGAAGGCGAUCAGAUACCGCCCUAGUUCUAACCAUAAACGAUGCCAACCAGCGAUCAUUCUGAGUAACUAAUUUCAUGACUCGAAUGGAAGCUUCCGGGAAACCAAAGUUUUUGGGUUCCGGGGGAAGUAUGGUUGCAAAGCUGAAACUUAAAGGAAUUGACGGAAGGGCACCACCAGGAGUGGAGCCUGCGGCUUAAUUUGACUCAACACGGGAAAACUCACCCGGCCCGGACACUGAGAGGAUUGACAGAUUGAGAGCUCUUUCUUGAUUCAGUGGGUGGUGGUGCAUGGCCGUUCUUAGUUGGUGGAGUGAUUUGUCUGGUUAAUUCCGAUAACGAACGAGACUCUAGCCUACUAAAUAGACUUGCAGUUUACACUGCAGUACUCCCCCUUAGUCAACCUGUGGGUGGUAGUAUCUCUUGAUGGUUUCGGCUGUUGAGGGCUCUGCUGCUAUUAGCCUGCAGAAUUGGCUAGGGUAAGGAUGCUGUAGCACUGUAAGGACUUCUUAGAGGGACAAGCGGCGCUCGCAGCCGCACGAAACAGAGCAAUAACAGGUCUGUGAUGCCCUUAGAUGUCCGGGGCCGCACGCGUGCUACACUGAAGUGGUCAUCGUGCAUACUGUUUCCUGCUCCGAAAGGAGUGGGUAACCGCUUGAACCCAUUUCGUGAUGGGGAUUGGGCAUUGUAAUUAUUGCCCAUGAACGAGGAAUUCCCAGUAAGCGUGAGUCAUUAGCUUGCGUUGAUUACGUCCCUGCCCUUUGUACACACCGCCCGUCGCUACUACCGAUUGAAUGAUUUAGUGAGGACUUCGGACUGGUCAAUCCAGACCAUUGGGAAACUAGUGGUCGGAUUGUGCUGGAAAGAUGUUCAAACUUGAUCAUUUAGAGGAAGUAAAAGUCGUAACAAGGUUUCCGUAGGUGAACCUGCGGAAG